rnacentral:rRNA from 1 species
UGGAAGUAAAAAGUCGUAACAAGGUCUCCGUUGGUGAACCAGCGGAGGGAUCAUUACAGAGUUGCAAAACUCCCUUAAACCAUCGCGAACGUACCCGUACCGUUGCUUCGGUGGGCGGCUCCAGGGCGGAGCCGAAGCCUUCACGGGCGCCCGCCGGAGGACCUAUACCUAACUAUUUAUCUUAACUGGCCUCUCUGAGUAUUUUUAUAAUAAGUAAAAACUUUCAACAACGGAUCUCUUGGUUCUGGCAUCGAUGAAGAACGCAGCGAAAUGCGAUAAGUAAUGUGAAUUGCAGAAUUCAGUGAAUCAUCGAAUCUUUGAACGCACAUUGCGCCCGCCAGUAUUCUGGCGGGCAUGCCUGUUCGAGCGUCAUUUCAACCAUCAAGCCCUGCUUGCGUUGGGGUCCUGCGGCUGCCCGCAGGCCCUUAAAACCAGUGGCGGGCUCGCUGUCACUCCGAGCGCAGUAAUACAUCUCGCUUUGGACCGUGCAGCGGGUACCGGCCGUUAAACACCCCCCUUUUACAAGGUUGACCUCGGAUCAGGUAGGAAUACCCGCUGAACUUAAGCAUAUCAAUAAGCGGAGGAA